GACCUCAAAUCAGGUAGGACUACCCGCUGAACUUAAGCAUAUCAAUAAGCGGAGGAAAAGAAACUAACAAGGAUUCCCCUAGUAACUGCGAGUGAAGCGGGAAAAGCUCAAAUUUAAAAUCUGGUAGUCUAUGGCUGCCCGAGUUGUAAUCUAGAGAAGUGUUAUCCGCGUUGGACCGUGUACAAGUCUCCUGGAAUGGAGCGUCAUAGAGGGUGAGAAUCCCGUCUUUGACACGGACUACCAGUGCUUUGUGAUGCGCUCUCAAAGAGUCGAGUUGUUUGGGAAUGCAGCUCAAAAUGGGUGGUAAAUUCCAUCUAAAGCUAAAUAUUGGCGAGAGACCGAUUGCGAACAAGUACCGUGAGGGAAAGAUGAAAAGAACUUUGGAAAGAGAGUUAAACAGUACGUGAAAUUGCUGAAAGGGAAACGCUUGAAGUCAGUCGCGUUGUUUGGGGAUCAACCUUGCUUUUGCUGGGUGUACUUUCCAGAUGACGGGUCAGCAUCAAUUUUGACCGUUGGAUAAAGUGUAGAGAAAUGUGGCAUCUUCGGAUGUGUUAUAGUCUUUGCUCGCAUACAACGGUUGGGAUUGAGGAACUCAGUACGCCGCAAGGCCGGGAAUUUAUUCUACGUUCGUACUUAGGAUGCUGGCAUAAUGGCUUUAAUCGACCCGUCUUGAAACACGGACCAAGGAGUCUAACAUGCCUGCGAGUGUUUGGGUGGAAAACCCGAGCGCGUAAUGAAAGUGAAAGUUGAGAUCCCUGUCGUGGGGAGCAUCGACGCCCGGACCAGACCUUUUGUGACGGAUCUGCGGUAGAGCAUGUAUGUUGGGACCCGAAAGAUGGUGAACUAUGCCUGAAUAGGGUGAAGCCAGAGGAAACUCUGGUGGAGGCUCGUAGCGAUUCUGACGUGCAAAUCGAUCGUCAAAUUUGGGUAUAGGGGCGAAAGACUAAUCGAACCAUCUAGUAGCUGGUUCCU
rnacentral:rRNA from 1 species